GCACUUCGGUGUGAGUAGAGUGGCGGACGGGUGAGUAACGCGUGGGAAUCUGCCCAGUAGUGGGGGACAACUACCGGAAACGGUAGCUAAUACCGCAUACGCCCUAUGGGGGAAAGGCUUCGGCCGCUAUUGGAUGAGCCCGCGUCAGAUUAGCUAGUUGGUAGGGUAAAGGCCUACCAAGGCAACGAUCUGUAGCUGGUCUGAGAGGACGAACAGCCACACUGGGACUGAGACACGGCCCAGACUCCUACGGGAGGCAGCAGUGGGGAAUAUUGGACAAUGGGCGAAAGCCUGAUCCAGCAAUGCCGCGUGUGUGAAGAAGGCCUGCGGGUUGUAAAGCACUUUCAGUUGGGAAGAUGAUGACGUUACCAACAGAAGAAGCACCGGCUAAAUCCGUGCCAGCAGCCGCGGUAAUACGGAUGGUGCGAGCGUUAAUCGGAAUUACUGGGCGUAAAGCGCGCGUAGGCGGCUAAGUCAGUCAGAAGUGAAAGCCCCGGGCUCAACCUGGGAAUUGCUUUUGAUACUGCUUGGCUAGAGUUUGGUAGAGGAUAGUGGAAUUCCAGGUGUAGCGGUGAAAUGCGUAGAUAUCUGGAGGAACAUCAGUGGCGAAGGCGACUGUCUGGACCAAAACUGACGCUGAGGUGCGAAAGCGUGGGUAGCAAACAGGAUUAGAUACCCUGGUAGAA
rnacentral:rRNA from 1 species